rnacentral:pre_miRNA from 1 species
CAGACGCAAUGUGGAGCAACUGCUCUUGAAGCUUGUACAUUUGGCUGAUCGUCGAGAUGUGAAGGACUUUGUCUUGCUACAG